AUUUUUACCUCAUGGCGAAAAAAAAGUCUGUGAAGGAGGAGGACCUGCAACAAUUCAGGAAGCAGGCGGCCUGUGUCGGCUUCUCUGGAGACCCAGACUAUCACUACAACCCCAGUAAAGAAUUCUGUGCUGAAGGUGAAGGCAGACAGAUGAUGUUCUGACCAUAAAGCCCUCAGGUGUCAUCAGAAAGACAUCAUCCAACUGGAAAACCA